rnacentral:rRNA from 1 species
AGUUUGAUCAUGGCUCAGGACGAACGCUGGCGGCGUGCUUAACACAUGCAAGUCGAACGGUAAGGCCCUUCGGGGUACACGAGUGGCGAACGGGUGAGUAACACGUGGGUGAUCUGCCCUGCACUUCGGGAUAAGCCUGGGAAACUGGGUCUAAUACCGGAUAGGACCAUGGACUUCACGGUUUGUGGUGGAAAGCUUUCGCGGUGUGGGAUGGGCCCGCGGCCUAUCAGCUUGUUGGUGGGGUAAUGGCCUACCAAGGCGACGACGGGUAGCCGGCCUGAGAGGGUGUCCGGCCACACUGGGACUGAGAUACGGCCCAGACUCCUACGGGAGGCAGCAGUGGGGAAUAUUGCACAAUGGGCGCAAGCCUGAUGCAGCGACGCCGCGUGAGGGAUGACGGCCUUCGGGUUGUAAACCUCUUUCAAUAGGGACGAAGCGCAAGUGACGGUACCUAUAGAAGAAGCACCGGCCAACUACGUG